UCCGGCUUAUCACCGGCAGUCGCCUUAGAGUGCCCAACUGAAUGGUGGCAACUAAGGCCGAGGGUUGCGCUCGUUGCGGGACUUAACCCAACAUCUCACGACACGAGCUGACGACAGCCAUGCAGCACCUGUGUCCACGCCCCUUGCGGGGAGGAAUCCAUCUCUGGAAACCGUCGUGGCAUGUCAAGGGCUGGUAAGGUUCUGCGCGUUGCUUCGAAUUGAACCACAUGCUCCACCGCUUGUGCGGGCCCCCGUCAAUUUCUUUGAGUUUUAAUCUUGCGACCGUACUUCCCAGGCGGCACAUUUAUCGCGUUGGCUUCGCCACGAGCAGGGUCGAUUCCGCUCACAGCAAAUGUGCACCGUUUACAGCUAGGACUAC
rnacentral:misc_RNA from 1 species